AGUUUUGCUCAGUGGCAGUAUCAUAGCCAAUGAGGUUUAUCUGAGGCGCGAUUAUUGCUAAUUGGACAUGUGUGUGGAUCCUCUGAGGAUGAACUGUGCUAAUCUCUAAUGCAUACACUAGG
rnacentral:snRNA from 14 species